ACAUCGGUAGCACUGUGGUUAGUGCAGUGUGCCAGAAACAGAAAGACGCGGGUUCAAAACCCGUCCGAUGCG
rfam:Nippostrongylus brasiliensis genome assembly, scaffold: NBR_contig0006230